rfam:Salmo salar isolate Sally breed double haploid chromosome ssa03, whole genome shotgun sequence.
UGCACUCACUACUGUAAGUCGCUCUGGAUAAGAGUGUCUGCUAAAUGACUGAAA